UUUGGUGUGGCAGAGAGAGUGCACUGGCUUUAAGCGCCAAACAUGGGAAACCCCCACCAAAU
rnacentral:tRNA from 1 species